AGCAAAUAUAGUAUAAGAAUGGAGCCAAGCACCAUUUUGAGCUAUGGUGUGACAUUCCUGACACUUCAAUAUUGUUGGAGUCAGACGCUGACUGAGUCUGAAUCCGUUGUCAUUAAACCUGGAGGAUCUCAUAAACUGACCUGUACUGCCUCUGGCCUUGACUUUAGUGGCUACUGGAUGGCUUGGAUCAGACAAGCUUCUGGAAAAGGCCUGGAUUUUGUUGCUAUCAUUGAGGGCAAUAGUAAUAGAAAGUUUUAUUCCAGUGCUGUUCAAGGAAGGUUCACUAUCUCCAGAGACAACAGUAAGAAUCAGUUAUAUCUGGACAUGGGCAGCUUAAGGACUGAUGACACUGCUGUGUAUUACUGUGCUCGAGAGACACUGUGA